AUGGAGUUGAUAAUGGUUGUUUGGAAACCAGGAGAAGGCACCACAAAGAAUCAUAAAACUAGAGAAAACUGUCGUCAAGGGAGGAGAGACCCAUCCAGUCAGACCAAGAGAGAAGCCGAGCACACUGCUCAGCUAGAAAUGGCACUGGAUGAUGAAGAGGAGGCUCUACAGAAUUUUCUGAUGUGCUGCUGCUGAUUUCCAUUGUGCAUCCAGCAGGCCAAGUAAAGUCUGCAGGGUGAAGCAUUUGAGCCUGAGGUUGCAUAAAGAGACUGCCUCCCCCCGGCAGCCUGCUGUGCCCCAAAUAACUGCAAAAUCAGCUCUUGGGGAGUGGUGUCUGCGUAGGCAGAUCCAGGACUUCUGGGCAUGCACCUGGCAGUGGCUGCAUGAGGAAAGUUCAUCUCGAGUGUAAAUGUCUCCCUAGCCAAGGUGUCCUAUGGGCAGAGGUGACAGCAGCCAUUAUCUGAGUGUGAAUGUCACUGCCCAUCACUCCUCUGCCUCUGCACGGAGCCCUGCCUGGACCCUGCUGAAACCUUGGCAUUUUGGGAGAAAGGGAUUUCUUUCUGCUUUCUGACUGCAUUGCUUUUAUAGCUGCUUAUAUACCUAAUAACAGUUUUUCAGCUCCUCAUUAGUUUCAGGCUUUUCAAGUCUUUUCUUGGGCUUCAGAAGGGAGAAAAUGCAAAUGUCCCAAGUCUGGAAGAAAUAGAAUCGGGCAGCAGCUCAGACUUGGCUCCUCAUCUGAAGGCCAGAGCUGAGCUUCUGACAAUGCAGCCCCCACCCAGUUCUGAAUUGUAAGGGAUCACGCCUUGCCCUAGGUUAGCUUAUCCUUGGCUGACACUGAAUUAAAGGGUAUGAUGUGUGGCUCACUAAAUCCCUAACCCGCUGUCCUAGGGACGAGUAUUACAUUUGUACCCCUCUGACACACAGCACUAGUGGAAGGCUUGCCCUCAACACAACGGGCAGAAAUGGAUCAGCCCUGAUUUGGGGAGCUCACACUGCUCAAAGUGAGUGGGGAAACAGCCUGGAGAAAUCAGAGGCCCCAAAUCCUAUUCUUGAUCUUGUAGGCAGCAAGUCUGAAGCGACUGAAGAGGGCAGACUGUGCUGCAGGUAUUAUCCUUGUGAACAGUGGUUUAAUGGUAAGGAAAUUAAGAAACAGACCAGUUUAAGAGCUGUCUCCUUAGCAAGUGUGAAUCACCUU
rnacentral:lncRNA from 1 species